GUACCUUUCUCGAUAUUUUGGUUAAGAUCAAGUAUAGUAUAUGUUCGUAUCAGUUUGAUAUGUGACAUGUGAACCAUAUGCCUACAACGAUAUUCAUUCUUUUUUAUGGACAUGGGUCCAUCACACUAGCUUGCUACUAGGGUUCUCACGUACCUCCUGACACCUUGCACUAUUGCCUAGGCCUGGCGCACCCUAA
rfam:Hordeum vulgare subsp. vulgare, WGS project CAJW01000000 data, contig: morex_contig_1576397